UAUACCAUUGUUUCAAAGGUGAAAGUUUCAAAACCCUUCCGCAUUCGAGGUACCAGGAAGAAUAGAAUUGUAACAAAAAAGAGAAAGUUAGUAAAGGUAAGGGAAAAAAAGAUUUGUGCAAUAUUGACCAAUAGCCGGGCUGGAUACUGUAACUUUCUAAUUUUUGUUAGAACAUAUCUUUUAACUCAGCAUCAUUUGCACGGAAGCGUUCAAGAUCGUGAAGUGAUGUUUCUAAACUGAUAAAAUGUUAUGUGGAAUAUUUAAGUGAUCAAUUACCAUAUCGUGUGUAGUGGUGAAUAAAAAUAGUUUGGCUGUGUGACGUCAAAGAGUAGCUUCAGAAAAAUCAAGAUUAUGUCACCAUUACUAUGAAGACACGUGAUUUCAUUAAACACACCACAGGAAAGGUCGGAGAGGGCCCGGCUCACACGUCGCUUCUACCUACAUAUUUUAUUGACCCCGCACGACACACAAGCACCAAUGACGUCGAGACAUAUCUUCAGAUAUUGCUGGAGCCUAAGGAAAACCAAACGCCGAGUACCCAAGAUGUUUCUUAUCACCAUACUCAGGCAAACUACAUUACAAUAAAUUCCCUUUAUUUUCAUUGCGAAUGUACCAAUCCGCCAUAUUUUCAUAAUUUUAUAGUAGGCUUGAUACCAUGCCAACUCACUGAUAUCUCGCUCCUAAAACACAACCGCUAUCGAAAGCGAUAAAAUUAUGUAGAGUAUCACUGCAAAAUAAAGAAGUACUGUGUUGUUAUUGCAACCCGAAUUCAAUUGAAGAGUCUAACUAGUGUAUUAUGAUGGUUAAGAUGAGUUUUACACUUCUUCAGAUGUAUUAAUGAGCAAUAUUCGAUAUGUAGUGUAUUAAAAAACUUUAUAUAUGCAAUAAUUUUGCGGAUUCUAAAGCGAUCUGAUUGCCGAGAAAUUUGCGAGUUAAAAUGGUAAGGUAACGCGUCUGCUUUCCAUUAAAACAUUAAAUACAUGAAUGUUUAACUCUGUGAAUUCAUUAUUCGAUUAUUUGACUGAAUAACUUAAAUGUUCUGCGAAAAAAAUAUUCAUUACAUGGAAAUUUCUCUUUUAAAAUAAGAAAUAUUUAU